rnacentral:lncRNA from 1 species
GUACCCUCUGCUCGCAGCUCCUCUGAGCACGCCGUCUCAUCAUCACCGUCAUGAAUCAUCGUAGGAAAGUCCUAAAUCCCAGAGUUUGCAAUGUUAUAAAACUCACAACCUUUGGAAGGAACUAACCUCUUGCGGGUCAGGCAAAUUGGAGCUGAUAUAAUGCAAAGUGCACGGUGGUGGAUUUUAUUUAUUAUUAUUAUUUUUAGAUUUAUUCAUCAGUCCGUGCAGGAGGAAGUGAAGCCAUCACUGGAUACAAACGUAGGACAAGUGCAGCGUCAUGAGCGUGUAGAGGGAGGUGGAGAGCCGGGAGAGGCUUUGCUGAGGGAGUGGUAUUCAGAAGAACGAGAGUCAGUAGAACCCAAAUGUUAGGGCAGCCUUACCAGGAGCAGGACGACUGGAAACGGUUGGCUUCACUGGCCCUGGCGGAACCGCGACGUGGAUGGGGCACCCUGUGAAGUGCUCUGAGUUCCUGGUUCGAGGUGAGAAGGUUGGUGAAGAAGGCUGAGAACCUCUCAGUGCAUUAAAACCAUCAGCCGUCCCUGAGCAGCUGUGGAACGAGGGCUUCCUAUACCUUAGAAAUUCUGCCCUUGCUUCAUUUCCUUUCAUUUUUUCCCCCCUACUUGGUGAACCCAAAGACACUUGCCCAGUGGACUCUUGCUCUGAGGGGAUUUGUAAAUAUCUCAGAGAGUCGAAUUGAAGAUCAAAAAUAAAACCUAGCACUGCUCUCCAGUGUUCUCUGCGCUCCUUGCCUUUGGGGGAUAGCAUGAUAAUUAGGACAGAGGCAUGGAUAUUUGAGAUUACGCCUUAAAUAAACUGGGGCAGAACUUCUUUAAGCUCCUCCAACUAUUUUUAUCUCUGAGGCAGAAAACACUGAUUUCAAUGCUCAGCUUAACUUGGCUUUGACACCAGGUAAGGAAAACAAAGGCUCUGGGACCUCCAGGUCCAGUCAGAGGAAAGGGCUUAAGGGCUGC